GACUAACGCUGGCGGCGUGCUUAACACAUGCAAGUUGAACGGGGCACAUUUUGUAGCAAUACUGAGUGUGCUUAGUAGCGGACGGGUGAGUAACGCGUGAGUAACCUGCCUUUGUGAGGGGGACAACAGCUGGAAACGGCUGCUAAUACCGCAUAAGACCACAGCUCUGAGUGGAGCUGAGGUAAAAGAUUUAUCGCACAAAGAUGGACUCGCGUCCCAUUAGCUAGUUGGUGAGGUAACGGCUCACCAAGGCGACGAUGGGUAGCCGACCUGAGAGGGUGAUCGGCCACACUGGAACUGAGAUACGGUCCAGACUCCUACGGGAGGCAG
rnacentral:rRNA from 1 species